rnacentral:rRNA from 1 species
AACGAACGCUGGCGGCAGGCCUAACACAUGCAAGUCGAGCGCGUAGCAAUACGAGCGGCGCACGGGAUAGUAACGCGUGGGAACCUACCUUUCGGUUCGGAAUAACAUCGGGGAACUGGUGCUAAUACCGGAUACGCCCUUCGGGGGAAAGAUUUAUUGCCGAUAGAUGGGCCCGCGUUAGAUUAGCUAGUUGGUGAGGUAACGGCUCACCAAGGCAACGAUCCAUAGCUGGUCUGAGAGGAUGAUCAGCAUCACUGGGACUGAGACACGGCCCAGACUCCUACGGGAGGCAGCAGUGGGGAAUAUUGGACAAUGGGGGCAACCCUGAUCCAGCCAUGCCGCGUGAAUGAUGAAGGCCUUCGGGUUGUAAAGUUCUUUUGGUGGGGACGAUGAUGACGGUACCCACAGAAUAAGCUCCGGCUAACUUCGUGCCAGCCGCCGCAGUAA